UUGCAUUUUAGGAAGGAAAGUGGUACGAGUGGAAGGCGAGGACGGCGUCUGCAUCAAUAUUCAGUAUUUAGCUGUUCAAAAGAUGAGAUUGAAGAGGUUAAAGUAACUACAAACAAGUGAGCACAAAACUUGACACCAGUUGAGACAUUGGAGUGGAAGCCACAAAGGUUGGUCCCUGGUGCGAACAAAACAGGUGGAGAAGUCGAGAAGAUGCAUCCAUCCUAACUACAAUUCUCCUUGUAUAUGAGGAAACAGAACCUAAACAGGCCCCUAAAAAUUGGGUUAGAUUGCUAUUGAUUAACAAAAAAGUUGGAAAGCAAAAUUCUUUCGGAGUACGAUUUGAGAAUGACUAGUCAGAAAAAUUCCUGUCCAUUUUAAGCUUGCUCUUCACUUCUUGUAUCUCCUUCAUUUGUCGCUGCAAGGCAAAGAAAAUAUGUGAAAGCAGCCACAGGAAUAGGCGUAUAAGAUAGUAUGCGAUGCAUUGGCGAUACGCAGGAAAUAAUUCUUCACAAUGCUGCACCUGAUAUAGUGCAUUCCAACAUGCAUUAAACUUAGCAUAAUGCAGUAACCAUUCAAUAGACAUCGGGUACUCUAUUGUAUUGGGCUGAGAGCAAUGAGAUGUUGAUACUGCAUUUCUCUGUAAAGGCAGGAAACACGCAAUUUAAAACUUCUUUUCUUGUAUAGGUAAAUGAAUGAAUUAUGUGAGUAAGGUUACCAUCUCCUGGUUUUGCCUUUGAAGCGCAGGUCUGUCAAUGACCAAAUGGCCAGGGAAUUUUUUCUUCUUGUCAGGCUCACGGAGAAUUCCCUUCAUGGCAGCGAUAAUCCUGUAGAAAAUCUAUGAACAGUACAUACUAUGCACUAUAAAAUGACUUGGAAGAUCGACUUUGAGGAAACAAGGGGGGUUUUGCUUAAGAGCAAGACGAUAAAUGCAUUAUUGCAAUUUUAGCAAGAAAUGGGUGAUAUGAACAUAAGUAAAAUUGGUCAAAGAUGGAGUUUAAAUAUCUGGAAUCAAUUACACAAAAAUGAUAGAGAAAUUAAAGAAGAUAGUUAGUAUGGAGAGAGGCAUGAAGAGUUAUUUGAAGUUCCAAAGUAACAGACUCUAAUGCAAUUUUUAUCAUCCAACUAUUCUAUAAGGUAGUAAAUGUUGGACUUGUUAACAUGGGAGAAAUUUGAGAGGAGUACUUAUGAAAGUGCUAAGAGAAAUGUGUGGUCACACAAGACUUGGAUCUCAUGGUAAAUAAUAUUCUUGAAACUCUGAUUUUUAAAGCAAACCAAAUGGCAUUUUGUGAUUCAUAAAGUUGUCCUCACGUAGUAGUGAGAUAAGGGCUUUGUUGUUAUUAUUGUGUGUCUGUAUAUGUUUGUGUGUAGAUAGAUAGAUAUAGAUAAAUAAUGGAAAGUUUAAAAAGUUAUAAAAAAUCAAAGCCAUCCAGUAACAUAUGGUACACGUAUGGUUUUCCAUAAUUUAAUACUUACCCCAAGAUCAAUUAUAAAAUGUUGUAAGGUAAACCUUUGGUUCAAAAUCCCUGCUUUUGUUUUUUAUUUCUUUGUGAAGAAAUAUAAACUUAGCCGCUAUUCUGUGGAGAUUUACCAUUAGGAUAUCAACGAAGUAGAACCUAUUACGUGGUGUACAACUAUCAACAUAACUGCCCGUGACCUGGAAAUAAUGAUUAUUGCAUAAAUUGGAUAUUAAAUCCAUUCAGCUGCAAGCUUAAGGAUCUAGCAUGACAUAUCAAUAUCGAUUUGUGUAUCUUUACCAUGAAUAAUUUGAAUACACAUUCAAGUACAUCAGGAAGCAUAUGCAGCACCUUCCGGGAUUGCUCAACAAUAAUGCAGCUAGUGGGCAGAGUUUCCUAUUUGCUAAAUAUUCAACCUCAUAAUAUAAUUUUUCAUGAGGUUGAAGGUGUUAGCUUACCUAGAUGAAAGUUCUUAAACAGGCAAAAUUAUCACUGAAAGGAUACAUGAAACUUAGGAGAGUAAUUCAGCAUCAAAAAUAAAAAUAAGAGAUGCAAUACCUCCCUUCUCCAAGACUAAGGAAUCUUCUGUUUAACUCGGAUAUUGCAGAUUCAGCUUCACCUUUUGUUUUAAAAAUAACAAAUGCUCUACCUGUCAGUAGAUGAGAGAACACAAUAAAUGGAGGAUCUAAAAAGUCACAACAUUCACUAUGCCCCACUGAAUUUAUAGGUUUCAUCAUAGGAAUAAAAGAGCCACAAAAAAAUUAAAACGGGACUAUUUGGCGAUUUUAAAGGUAUAUUUGUAAAUACCAUAGUAUGUACUGGAACUCGGGAUCCAUUCUAUCAUCCUUGCCUGAACCUUUGCUUUGAGAGCACACCAAACAAGAUCCUGAACAAGAGUUGAGGAAAAAGAAAUUAAAAAACUAGACCACUAGGCACAGGCCAGAUUAAUUUAUAAUCUAAACCUAAAGUUCCUCUUACGAAG
rnacentral:sRNA from 1 species